AUUGAACGCUGGCGGCAGGCCUAACACAUGCAAGUCGAGCGGAUGAAGGGAGCUUGCUCCUGGAUUCAGCGGCGGACGGGUGAGUAAUGCCUAGGAAUCUGCCUGGUAGUGGGGGAUAACGUCCGGAAACGGGCGCUAAUACCGCAUACGUCCUGAGGGAGAAAGUGGGGGAUCUUCGGACCUCACGCUAUCAGAUGAGCCUAGGUCGGAUUAGCUAGUUGGUGGGGUAAAGGCCUACCAAGGCGACGAUCCGUAACUGGUCUGAGAGGAUGAUCAGUCACAAUGGAACUGAGACACGGUCCAGACUCCUACGGGAGGCAGCAGUGGGGAAUAUUGGACAAUGGGCGAAAGCCUGAUCCAGCCAUGCCGCGUGUUGGAAGAAGGUCUUCGGAUUGUAAAGCACUUUAAGUUGGGAGGAAGGGCAGUAAGUUAAUACCUUGCUGUUUUGACGUUACCAACAGAAUAAGCACCGGCUAACUUCGUG
rnacentral:rRNA from 1 species